UGGGAUGGACUAUAAAAUAGGAAUCAGGCCGGGACGGGAAGGGCUGAGUUAGGGCUGAGACAGAGAUAAAUUAUUUUUAAUAGAUUUUAAAAGCUCUGACCCAUUGUCCUUCCUGGUCACCACUAUCUGUGCUUUUCCCAGUUGGCUGUGGUUCUUUGGGUGUGAAUUCAGCUGCAUCUUCACGUGUUUUCGGGAUCAGAUUUUGGCCACCUUCCAAAAACCUCCUUGCAAUCUCCUCAACACUGGGGCCUGGGAAGGAGACAUGAUGGUUAGAAAUUAAAGCAACCCUGUGAGGCAGGCUAGGCUGAGAGACAGCGAUUGGCCCAAGCAUCCUCUGAAUUCUGCACGCUGAUGAUCACCAUGCUAAAAAAAUCAGGAUAUGGCCUUGAUCGAGAAGAUAUACUGAACUGAAUCUAUUUAUGCAAUGGAAGUAGAAGCGCACCUCAUUUCUCAAGGCAGAUCUGCAUGCACAAAUGCCAAGGACCCAGGAGUAGCUCUCUCUAUCUCUACCCACCCCCCAGGAGCAACUACUGGUAGACUUCAAUCUUGAGCACUUCCUAGGGACGAACGACCCACUGAAGUGAACUAAGCCUUCUGAGCAAAAAUGCUUAUGAGCAUCCUACAAAGUUGGGGACGUAUUUCAAGGGAGCAUAUGCCUGAAUCUGAACUCUCUCAUGUGCAAACUGUCUGAUAAAUCACACCCUUAGAAAUGGACUUCAGAUGUAUUUUAACAGGCAACCUGUGGCAUCAGAUGCACAAAUGAUUACACACUGGGUGUCAGAGAAGUCAUUGUCUAUAUAGCACAGGCAUUCAAGCCUAGGGUUGCAAA